AUUGUCGGAACAUCCGAUUGAUAGAAUGAUAAGGAGCAGAUGGAAAAGUAGAUAAUCGCACGAGACGGAUUAAAAUAUUUUUCAAGUCCUGCUUUCUUAAGUCAUAUUUCAUGUGGGAACAUUUGAGGAGAUAAUUUUUCUUUCUUAUUAAAAAUAAAUCGGAUUUAAUAAAUAAAUUACUAUUAGCUGUCCGCACUUGUUUUUGCGAAAGAAGCACAAAAUUUGUAAUCGCUGCCGGAAGGCCUGCUUGUGAGAUACCUAAAUAGAUAAAUGGAAUGAAAAUGCAAAUAUAGGAGAAACCGGUAUUAAUCAAGAAGACACGUUGGAGACCGGAAACUUCAAAUGCAAUUAACACCAGCUCACAUAGAAUUCCAAAAAGUGCAUAACUUUGUGGAAGUGGGUUUUGGGUUUUCAACAAUAGUUUUCUUUUAUUUUAUUUCCCGAUGGCGUUUAUUUUCCGGCCGUGUUUAUUUAUCUAGUGUAAUGUAAUUGUUGUACCUAUGACAGAUGCCAAACAUAAACCGCGUCCGAGCAAACAAAGUCCAAGUUCAGUGCCCCCAAACAUCGAUAAAAUUUCGAAAACCGGGAAAGAAAAAACAUUCCAACGUCGUCAAAUCACUCACGUAAAUACCAUGUUGUAGGUGAUAUUUACAUUUGACAGUGUACAAAUUUACAUUAAUCUUUUAUGGUGUGGGUGCAAUCUGGUCGCGGAAUUUAUGUCUUAAAACAAAGAUUUUGGAAUUCGUUGGCUCGUUUCGUAAUCUAAUGGCAAAUAUUUGUGUCUCAGCUCGUAUACAUCAAGCUAGAUUACGUUAAUUGGGACAUUUUCCGGGACGCACCUGGAGGGCGGUGGGUGGAGGUUUUCGGGGGCGGUCGUUGAUCAUCUUAAUGGGAGAUUUAUCAAGUGGAAUGCUAGGAGGAGGAUUUGGCGGCGGUUCUAUGGAAGUAAAUCUUGUCAGGAAUAAGUAAAUCAUCGGAUUUUUACGGUUUCUGGGUUUUUUGCUUGUCGGGUUCGUGGUUGUCGACAUUUUCAAUGGAGCUCAUUGUACGUUACAUAAAUAAUUCAUAAAAUGGGACUGGAACGGGUGUAAAUAUAAUUAGAGUAUUUUUAUCAACA